UAUUUUUUAGCACCCUGUCGCUUUGCUGAUUGGAGUAAACCUGGUAUAAAUACGCACAAACGGCUCAAGUGCGUAUCAAAGGUUGUCGAGUCUCGAAGCCAGCUAGAAGCACAACAAAAAUGAAUAAGGCAAUCGCGAUCGGAAUCAUUGCAGCUCUAAUAGCAUUGUGCAACUGUUUGCCUACUAACGAGGACAACAGGCCUCAGGGUGUAGCAUUUUCCGCGGAAGGCGCCAGUGCAACGCCCGCUGCCUCGACCCAAAGGUUGCCUCCUGUGAGGGCGAGCAGCACUACACCCGCAUCUCCUGCAAGGCCCUCAUCCCCCAACCCUCCUCCGAGGCCCGCCUUGACUCCUGCUGCUGCUGCUGCUGCCACUACUGCAAAAACUGUUCCUGCGACAGCCACUAAUACCGCAAAACCGGUCCCUGCACCUAAAGCUCCGACAGUCAACACCACAGGAUGCACCAUGACUAAGGGUACAAGCCCUGCACCAAAAGCACAGACCAAGCACUAGUCUUGACUGUUAUGAUAUUAACCUGUAAAAUAUCAGUUUUGAUGCACAAAAUAUUUAUUUAUUUCCUUCCAUUGUAGGUAGUUGUGAACGUUGCAUUAUGCACUUAGAACUGCCGUAUUUUAAAUUUCAAAGAAAAUAAAAAUAGCUCAUAUAUAAACAGCAA